AAAUAAACUUGAUCACACAGUAAAGAUUGACGGAUACUACAUGUAAGUCUCACCCGGAAUCCCCUGGGGUUAACAUAUACAUAUAGAACUAUUUUGACUUAUCAAUACAAUAUCUACACUAAGUGUACGCUGCCAGACACCUUAUGAUAUACAUUAAUGUUUAUAUACUGUGGAUGAAAAUAAUAUGUAAGAUCUUUUUUGUAUAAUGUACAUAAUGUAUAUAAUUAUAUUUAUUCCAUGUGUAGAUAGUCUGUACCCUGCCCUACGAGGGUGUUCUGUACAAUAAAAAUUCUUGAUUCUAUAGAACAAUUAGAGUUACCAUUUCUCAGAAAACACUGGACCGGCCUGAUUACAUCGGAAUCAGACGGGAGCGGCCCAGUGACGUCAGAAUUAACUACAGUAAGCUUCGCGGAGUCAACGCGGAUAUAGUGCUAUACUCUCCACAUUGCUUGUGCAUGCAUACAACGCCGUGGAGAACAUAAGGGGGCGAACCUCGAUGCAAGGAGUUGAACCCUUGCGCAAGCCAUCAUUAGGCGUGGAUACCGUAAUUGUAUGUAUAUAAACCUCUCGUUAAUGUGUAGAUGAAAUAAACAGAAAGCCCUGUACCGACGACGAACACAUAUAACAGCUUGGUACAUUUCAUAACAAACAUUUCCCAUCUUAAGAGAGUGUAUACGACAUGUCUGCAAAUCUGGGGAAUGACGAUGUACAGAUAAAAAUGGAAGACGAAGGUGCCAAGACAGCAGACGACACUUCUUCAAAAGCAGACGACACGUCAGUACAAACAGCCGAACCUAACCCGUAUGUUGUCAUAGCGGAAAGAGGUGUGCAUCUUAAAAUUCUACCCAAAGAGUCUCUUGUGCCCAAGCCAUGGGGUAAAAUAAAACACAUCAUCAUUGCAUCUUACUUGAGCCUGUUGUGUUGCUGUGUACCCGCCGCAUUUGCCAACAAAUAUGCAUGGGAAGCCAAAAGGUACAAAGAUCUGGGACUCCGGUCUGAGGCCAGAGUCCUCGCGAAAAAUGCUGUAUGUUGUAUCUACACAAGCGUUAUCAUUGGAUCUCUCCUGAUUGGGAUUUUUGGUACUGUGUUUCUUGUUGUUUGGAUUACGAGAAUGAACGAAUAAGAACUCGCAUACCUGCCAUAGACACAAAUGGCUGCUGUAUGAAUGAGGCGUAAAACCCGCAUUAUACAUUUUAUAGACGGCUAUAAAACCGAGUGCGCAAUCGAUCUACCGGAAGUGCUCGAUAAAUCGCAACAUGAUCAUUGUUAUUUCCUUAUCACGGAUGUUUUAUUGUUUUAUUGUUGUUUAACGCCGCACUCAGCUAUAUUCCAGCUAUAUGGCUGUCUGUAAAAUAAUCGAGUCUUGACCAGACUAUCCAGUGACUGAAAUCAUGAGCACAGAUCCACGCAAUUGAAGUCAGCGAGCCUGACCACCCGAACGAUGUUUGAAAGGACUCUGGAUUGGACAAUUGUUAUUUCAAGUUCAUUAAGGGAUUAUAUGCCCGCCUGACUAAUUAUUGCGAUGAAGGUAAUAGGUAUGGAUAUAUUAUAAAUGCAUUAUUCUUGUUAGUCCCAGAUUUGCACUGGUUCCUUUUGGGUAUGGAUUGGGUUUGGGGUUAGGGUUAGGGUAGCUCCGCAGUUCGCUGUGCAGAGUUGCAUCCCUUGCGCACGCCACGAACCUAUGAUUGUAGGUUCGAAUCCGGCUUCGCCCCGAGACAUUUCAAGGUACCAUAGUUGUACUCGUGGGCUUCACCAAAGUGGUAAAGGUUUGAGACCUGCAUCCUUUCGGGUUUCCCUCCCAUAUUGAGCUGACACGCCGUGAUAUAACUGGAAUACUGUUUUUAAAGCGGCGUUAAACCAAACUCACUCACUUGUAUAUGUAUUUUACUUGUUUUACUUGUGCAUGUUAUUAAGAUCAUCAUCAUUGUAUAAUGCGAUGAUGAGCUUUUCUUGAUAUUUUUGUUUGACGUAAAACCUUUCACUGCGUUUUUGCCAUUGUUAUUUUAUGUGUAGAUACUUUGUUCGUUAUAAUAAACUAAAUUUCCUUCAAACAAA
rnacentral:lncRNA from 1 species